GUGGGGAAUCUUCCGCAAUGGACGAAAGUCUGACGGAGCAACGCCGCGUGAGUGAUGAAGGUCUUCGGAUUGUAAAGCUCUGUUAAUCGGGACGAAAGAGCCUAGUGUGAAUAAUGCUAGGAAGUGACGGUACCGGAAUAGAAAGCCACGGCUAACUACGUGCCAGCAGCCGCGGUAAUACGUAGGUGGCAAGCGUUGUCCGGAAUUAUUGGGCGUAAAGCGCGCGCAGGCGGAUCUGCCAGUCUGUCUUAAAAGUUCGGGGCUUAACCCCGUGAUGGGAUGGAAACUACAGAUCUAGAGUAUCGGAAAGGAAAGUGGAAUUCCUAGUGUAGCGGUGAAAUGCGUAGAUAUUAGGAAGAACACCAGUGGCGAAGGCGACUUUCUGGACGAAAACUGACGCUGAGGCGCGAAAGCCAGGGGAGCGAACGGGAUUAGAUACCCGAGUAGUCC
rnacentral:rRNA from 1 species